rnacentral:rRNA from 1 species
AUACGGAGGAUGCAAGCGUUAUCCGGAUUUAUUGGGUUUAAAGGGUGCGUAGGCGGUUUGCUAAGCGGGAGGUGAAAUGCCGGCGCUCAACGUCGGAAGUGCCUCCCGAACUGGUGGACUUGAAUGACUCUGCCGUGGGAGGAAUGUGUAGUGUAGCGGUGAAAUGCUUAGAGAUUACACAGAACACCGAUUGCGAAGGCAUCUCACGAAAGGGUGAUAGACGCUUAUGCACGCAAGCGUGGGGAUCAAACAGUAUUAGAUACCCUGGUAGUCCACGGAGUAAACGAUGAAGGCUAACCGCUGGGGGUAUCAGUUCAGUGAUCAAGCGAAAGCGAUAAGCCAUCCACCUGGGGAGUUCGACCGCAAGGUUGAAACUCAAAUGAAUUUACGGGG